rnacentral:rRNA from 1 species
AAAUUGAAGAGUUUGAUCAUGGCUCAGAUUGAACGCUGGCGGCAGGCCUAACACAUGCAAGUCGAGCGGAAACGAGUUAUCUGAACCUUCGGGGAACGAUAACGGCGUCGAGCGGCGGACGGGUGAGUAAUGCCUAGGAAAUUGCCCUGAUGUGGGGGAUAACCAUUGGAAACGAUGGCUAAUACCGCAUAACGCCUACGGGCCAAAGAGGGGGACCUUCGGGCCUCUCGCGUCAGGAUAUGCCUAGGUGGGAUUAGCUAGUUGGUGAGGUAAGGGCUCACCAAGGCGACGAUCCCUAGCUGGUCUGAGAGGAUGAUC